UACGGGGGGGGCAAGCGUUGUUCGGAAUUACUGGGCGUAAAGGGCUCGUAGGCGGCCGACUAAGUCGGAUGUGAAAUCCCCAGGCUCAACUUGGGAACUGCAUCCGAUACUGGAUGGCUUGAAUUCGGGAGAGGGAUGCAGAAUUCCAGGUGUAGCGGUGAAAUGCGUAGAUAUCUGGAGGAAUACCGGUGGCGAAGGCGGCAUCCUGGACCGACAUUGACGCUGAUGAGCGAAAGCUAGGGGAGCAAACGGG
rnacentral:rRNA from 1 species